UCAGACAUCUGCUCGGCGAAUU
rnacentral:miRNA from 1 species